rnacentral:rRNA from 1 species
CAAUAGCGUAUAUUAAAGUUGUUGCGGUUAAAAAGCUCGUAGUUGGAUUUCUGCUGAGAACGACCGGUCCGCCCUUUGGGUGUGUAUCUGGCUCUUUCUUGGCAUCUUCUUGGUGAACGUUGCUGCACUUGACUGUGUGGAGCGCUACCCAGGACUUUUACUUUGAGGAAAUUAGAGUGUUUCAAGCAGGCAUACGCCUUGAAUACAUUAGCAUGGAAUAAUAAGAUAGGACCUCGGUUCUAUUUUGUUGGUUUCUAGAGCUGAGGUAAUGAUUAAUAGGGAUAGUUGGGGGCAUUCGUAUUUAACUGUCAGAGGUGAAAUUAUUGGAUUUGUUAAAGACGGACUACUGCGAAAGCAUUUGCCAAGGAUGUUUUCAUUGA